AGUUUGCUUGAAUGGCUACCAGAGACAGUUAUGUGAAAUGCACUACUACAGUCUUCAUUUUCCAUCUGGCAGGUGGGUACUGAUGAACAAAACUUAUUGAAUUUCAUUGAUAUGGCCCUUAAUAAAUGUAAUAGGCCUUCUGUGCCAGUAUGGGACCUUACCUAUGUGAAAGUUGAAGUCCCAGUGUUAGUACUAGUGGAUCGGUUGGGAGAUGCUGUGUCUCAUUGUAGUUUUCCUCAAGUUCAAGGCAGUUGUGGCAACAGCACAGUGAAUAUACAGAACUGCCAGAUUUGGGGUACUUGUGAACCUUGUGUUGUGCUCAAAGUGCCGUAGCCCACGCCGCUUGUGACUUGUCCAGAAUUACAAUCACCUUUAUUCGUAGUCCGUUCUUCUUUGAAGAGAAUACACCCAGAGGUCAUGUCAAGUGUACCAUGAUGUCUGUGCGUUAUCGAGACUUUGUACAGCAGCUGUGUGGAAACCAUUGUUUUCGUGCAAGAUGGGGCAACAUCUCGCGUCACUCGCCCAGUGAGAGAGACUGAGACAAGUGUUCACCUUAAUAACCGUGUUCUCUCGCUUGUGACGAGUUCAGAUACAUCGAGAGUUGGUAUUACGUGAUUUACCCGUGUAUAGAUGGUCAAGUGAAACGUCAAACUUAAGAUCAAAAUUUGUGGUACCACGACAGAGAUGUUCAAACAACCAAUUGAUAGCUCAACAGCAGACCAGAUGAAACCCUAUGAAGAAUAUUGCCAGCAUAUUGUAAUUUUCGUAUGUUAAGUAUUGAAAGUUGCGUAUGUACUACACAAUUAUUUUGUGCAAGUGAAGAGGAAAUCAUGGUGGACUGCAUCAAACUAGUCUGAAGCCUGUUCACCAAAUCUUGAUUACUCUUUCUUACAAGGAUUACUGAGAGUUUUAUGAUGGCGGACACAAUAAUACAGAAAAUACAGUUUGGACUACUUGAAGUUUGGAUUUAUUGCAUCUCCAUCAAAUCAGCACUUGCCGAUGUGUCUCAUAUGUGAAAAAGUAUUCAGUAACAAUGCCAUGAAGCCUUUAAAAAUGGAUGACCACUUAUCAAGAGUACAUGCUGACAAAAAAAUUGGCAUGGGACAUAAGAAGUGGCAGAAAACUGCACUGGACACAGAGUCUGUAACUGCACAUCCUUGUAUCAGCCUAAUGGACUGGUUGGUGCUUGAUGUCCAAAUGAGGAUUUUUAAAUCUGGAACUGUACCCACAAAUUAAUGUUCAGAAGCGGCAGCACUGUUUCUUGGUACGACACGAAGUUUCUUCUGUGCGUGAAGCUGGUGCAUCUUGCAGUCGUCAGAAGUUGCUAUAAGGCAAAGAUGGGGUACACGGCCUACAGGAAGCUCUACACAGCAUAGCUCUGUGAUAAGUUGCUAAAAAAUGUACACACUGUGCAAUUCUAGUUGUGGUCAUUCACAUCAGAAUGGUUCUUAAGCAGGUAAAACAAUUGCGAUUUUUGAAGAGUUCGCAGACUAUUUAUCUGAACUUCAAAAAUUUCAUAUGAGGAGACGCUAAUGUUGGUUCAGCAAAGACAGUAAAUGUAGAUGACGUGGAUAUAGGUCUCUACUUUCAUGUCGUGUUACGGUUUCUGUUGACGCAAUAAGUAUUCGACAAAAAAUUUGUUUCCUGUUGGUUAUUGGCAUGAUCGUGUGCUUUUGUAAAAACAGCUAUAUUGAGACAUUUCAGAGUGUGUGCGCAAAUGGACAGGCCUGAAGAAUUUGUGAUAUGUCUCCAGGAACCUUACCAAAUGUUUGGAGAUUAAUGUAAACCUUUUAGAAGGAUUUGUUAAUAUUUAUCCCUAUAUUUUUUUUUAAUGGUUGUAACACCAUGCCCAUAUAUUGUGAACAAAAUCUUAUUAUUUAGAAAAGAAGUAGGUUGAACGCAAAUUUUCACAGUAAUUCUGCAAGAGAUAGCUUUUUGCAGGGGUCUGAAUUGCUGUGGUGUGGGCAAAGUAACAAAGGAAAAAAUAGGAUUGAGUUGUUAUUUUAAGGCACUGCAUUCUGCGCCCUGGCAGAAUUCUGGUGGCCAUGUGAUGGGGAAUGUCACAAUUUUGCACUGUGAUCCUUACCUGCCAGUGAGAAGUUUCCUUGGCCGUUGACUGUAAACAAACACAGCUACCGUGUCAAAGGUCAUAGUCCUUCGAUUAACUUUUAUCUUAAAAUGUAGCUUUGAUAGGUUGUUAUCUGUCUUACACAUAUUUUCGUGAAACUCUAAAGCAGAUAGUAUUUUUGUCUGAAUCCUGCGGAAUUCACUCUAAAGGUCCAGCCUACAAAAGAUUAUAAUCCCACACUCUAGACUUGUUCCGUUGUUCUAGUAACCCACCUGUUUUACCUGCACAGAAGUGUAGCUAGUAUCAAUGUAAUUAUUAUUAGCUGUGGCAGAGCCCUUGGCCUCUGGAUUUGGAGGGAAUUCCACCUCAACUUUCACUGUAAGCAGCAACAACGUGUGUAAUCCAGAUAGUACUGCCUCUAGCUCGUUCCCUCGGAAGAAAGAGGCUUACAAAAGAAGAUUCUGUAUUUUCGACACAGCGUCCUCAGAGCCAGGCUCGUAACCCGUCGGUACUGAAACGGGGAGCAACAUUACGGAAUUGGGGAUAUCGUUCUCGAUUGGCUGAUAACACAGUUUCAAGUGUUUUUAAGAAACCUGUGGGAUUUGUUAAACCUGUAGGUUACUGAAUACUGAUAAGUGUAUCUCUGUAUGGACCAGAAUGAACAAAGGCCUGCACAAACCAGCACUCAUGGGUAUAAGGAAGGAUUCAGAAGGAGAGGGUGUGUCCAAACUCCCUGGUUAUUUAAGACUCUAAAUGCCCUCUGUUAAAAUGAUAGUGCCACUCUGGUCAUGUGGCCAAUACACCCUGACAUU